rnacentral:rRNA from 1 species
GAUGGUGACUUAAACCCUCACCAGAAGUACCAAUUGGAGGGCAAGUCUGGUGCCAGCAGCCGCGGUAAUUCCAGCUCCAAUAGCGUAUAUUAAACUUGUUGCAGUUAAAAAGCUCGUAGUUGAAUUUCAGCGUUUCGCGUGUGCCUCUUUUGGCCCAUCUCGUCUCGCUUUUUUUAUUACUUUGAGAAAAUUAGAGUGUUUCAAGCAGGCUUUUGUCUUGAAUACUUGAGCAUGGAAUAAUAGAGUAGGACCUUGGUUCUAUUUUGUUGGUUUUGUUACCUUGGUAAUGGUUAAUAGGAACGGUUGGGGGCAUUCGUAUUUAACUGUCAGAGGUGAAAUUCUUAG